rnacentral:rRNA from 1 species
UACGUAGGGGGCAAGCGUUGUCCGGCAUUAUUGGGCGUAAAGAGCGUGUAGGCGGUCCGGUAAGUCAGCUGUGAAAGUCAAGGGCUCAACCCUUGAAAGCCGGUUGAUACUGUCGGGCUAGAGUCCGGAAGAGGCGAGUGGAAUUCCCGGUGUAGCGGUGAAAUGCGCAGAUAUCGGGAGGAACACCAAUGGCGAAGGCAGCUCGCUGGGACGGUACUGACGCUGAGACGCGAAAGCGUGGGGAGCAAACAGG